CGAACGCUGGCGGCAGGCUUAACACAUGCAAGUCGAACGCCCCUUCGGGGGAGUGGCAGACGGGUGAGUAACGCGUGGGAACCUACCUUUCGGUACGGAACAACAGUUGGAAACGACUGCUAAUACCGUAUACGUCCUUCGGGAGAAAGAUUUAUCGCCGAUAGAGGGGCCCGCGUUGGAUUAGCUUGUUGGUGAGGUAAUGGCUCACCAAGGCGACGAUCCGUAGCUGGUCUGAGAGGAUGAUCAGCCACACUGGGACUUAGACACGGCCCAGACUCCUACGGGAGGCAGCAGUGGGGAAUAUUGGACAAUGGGCGCAAGCCUGAUCCAGCCAUGCCGCGUGAGUGAUGACGGCCCUAGGGUUGUAAAGCUCUUUCAGUGGUGAAGAUAAUGACGGUAACCACAGAAGAAGCCCCGGCUAACUCC
rnacentral:rRNA from 1 species